CACGCGGUUCCGGGUCCCAGGUUUUGGUUUCCAGGGUUGAUCCGCGACAAACUGAGGUUCGGAUAGGGAACGACCAUCCCCCAAACCCGCGGGAAACUUGUUUCCUGUGAAAAGCCUAACCUCUGGUCAUUGGCAUUUUCUCCGAUCACCACUCCUAAAUUGUUCUGGCCUGUGGGAGGGUGAUCGAGAUGAUAUUUAGGACUGGAGCAGGCAAGGGAGUUACGGCUCAAAGCCAGAAUUAACAGGUAAGGAUGUGCAGGCCAGGGACGCGGUCAAGGUUGUAACCUCUGUGGCUGAGGUGGUGUCGGGAGUCAAACCUAAGUUGAACCCAGACCCCGAGAAAUCCUGUGGAACCGAGAUGACCCACUCCUUGGUUUGUCCAGAGACAGUGAGCAGAUCAUACUGGUGCCUCUUCUAGGGUGAGUUCUGUGCUGAAUCGCAACACUCGGCAGUUUGGAAAGAAGCACCUAUUCGACCAGGAUGAGGAGACGUGCUGGAACUCGGAUCAGGGCCCCUCCCAGUGGGUGAUACUAGAGUUUCCCCAGCGUGUCAGUGUCUCCCAACUGCAGAUCCAGUUCCAGGGCGGCUUUUCCAGUCGCCGGGGCUGCCUAGAAGGUUCACAGGGAAAUGAAGCUCUUAGCAAGAUUGUGGAUUUCUAUCCUGAGGAUAGCAACUCGCUCCAGAUAUCCUGUCAUGGCCUUUGUGGUGGGGUGGCAUGGGCCUUUGAAAGCUUUGGUCUCACCCAGACCUGAGUGGGUGAGACUUCUAGGUGUGUGACUUCUAGGCCUCCAUUGCUUCAUCUGUAAAAUGGGGGUGAUGACCACCUGUUUUAUGUGAGAGGAUCAGAGCAACCCAUAGUUUGCCCAGGUCAUCCAGGACAUUAGUGAUGUCUGAGCUAGGGCUAUAGCCCAGGUCUGGGAAGGGUGGGGCUUGGCAGGUGGGAACAAGAAGCCACUGUUUCCUUUGACUGCCUGUGAUCACACCUUCUCUGUGCCAGCUACUGAGGUGGACCGGCUGAAG